UACGGAGGGGGCUAGCGUUGUUCGGAAUUACUGGGCGUAAAGCGCACGUAGGCGGCUUUGUAAGUUAGAGGUGAAAGCCCAGGGCUUAACCCUGGAAUUGCCUUUAAGACUGCAUCGCUAGAAUCGUGGAGAGGUGAGUGGAAUUCCGAGUGUAGAGGUGAAAUUCGUAGAUAUUCGCAAGAACACCGGUGGCGAAGGCGGCUCACUGGCCCGUUUCUGACGCUCAGGCGCGACAGCGUGGGGAUCAAACAGG
rnacentral:rRNA from 1 species